GAUCUACUCCCUCCGUUCAGAAUUACUUGUCAUGGAAAUGGAUGUAUCUAGACGUAUUUUAGUUCUAGAUACAUCCAUUUUCGAGACAAGUAAUUCCAAACGGAGAGGUAAUUU
rfam:Triticum aestivum genome assembly, contig: Triticum_aestivum_CS42_TGACv1_scaffold_573911_7AS